ensembl:lncRNA
UACCAAAACAAAACGACUGCUGGAGGACAACACAGGAGAGAGGUGGACGGAUGGAGGAUGGAGGGAGGUCAGGGAGGGAGGUCAGUGAGGUCAGGGAGGGAGGUAAACAAGUAGGACUGGGGGGGGGGGGCAAUCGUGCACUCAGGAGGUCUUCCCGAAACAUGCUCAUAGCACACACACACACUCACACACGCAGACACACUAAACACUCACUCACACACACACACACACAGUCUCACACGCACAGAGGGGGAGGUUGGGCCUAUCCCUGCCUUCCAUGUCCGUCCGCUCGUCUGGCUGUGGGCCAUCCUGACCCGAAUGGGGACGAAACCAAACCCCACUGACCAUGUGAAGUCAAGCAGGCUCAACUAGAACACGGAUACUGGGUCGUUUAAGGGUCCGAUUUAGACUGCCAGCACCUUUCUCCACUUCACACAUCGAGACGGCUGGAAGUGGUUAUAACUGCUGCUCUAUAUUUGUGCCUUAAAGUCAUUUAGUAGAAACGUUGCUUGGCUUGAGUUGCCAGAGCACAUGACAGUGUUCUAUAAUGUUUAUAGACCAACACGAAGUAGAGAGAAGGCAGGGACCAGUAGACAAUAUGGAACGGCAUUAUGGGUAACCUAGAGGACAUGGUCCACACACUGGAGAGGAGAGGACAGUGGAGAGGGGACAAAGGGGUGUGACACGAGGGGUCAAAGGUCAUCAGACCCGAGCAUCAUGGGAAGGGGGCAGCAGGCAAACCUCGCCCUCAGCGACCGGAGAGUCCAUGUCUCAUAAAUAAUUUUUGCCUUUGUAUUUUUUUUUUUUCUCAAUGUCAUUUUUAUAUAAUUUCCCCAUGUAAACAUACAUUCAUGCAACACCCGCGUUGAAUAGUUCCUUAUAUUUGAUAUAUUUUUUUUAUAUAAAAAAAAACAACAACAAGAAAACAAAAGACCAAAACACUAACUUAAAAAGAAAGGAAAAAAAGAAAGGGAUGUUCCGAUGACAAAGAAAAAGAGUGAUAAGAAAACAGCCCUGAAACGAGAGAGAGAGGGACGUGGGACUGGGUGGAGAGGGUUCUACAGGAUGCCUAAUUUAACAUACCUGUGUGUGUGUGUGUGUGUGUGUGUGUGUGUGUGUGUAGGACGAUCGGAGUGAGAUUCCAUGACCCUUGAUGGUAAGGGUUGAGAUGUUGAAAAUGGAUUAAUGAUGAUAUUGAUCUGGACCAAUCGGAAGAGGGAUCAUUUGUGAGGUCAUUGAUUUUGCACUUCAUUUCACACACACACACACACACACACUUAUCCAUAUUGGCUUGCCACACACACACACCGCAAGCCCAUGCUCACCAGGGACCCGAGCUGAAACCUAAUUCAUGUGAACAUGUGAACGUGUGUAAACUCCAUAAACCCCUCGCUAGCUUCCUCUAGCAGCCGCCCAGAGAGCCUCCGUGACCCCCCCGUCACGUCUGUUUGACCCCCCGUCACGUCUGUGAGACCCCCCGUCACGUCAUACACCAAGUCAGUUGGUGCCGUCGACCCGACCCGGCCCGGCAAGGUCAGCUGUGAGAACGUCAGUCCUGGCCAACAUGCCUGCACACAAACACAUGCACACACACACACACACAGACACACACACACACACACACACGCACAGACACACACACAUGCUCAAAGCCGUGCCCUGGAGGGUGUGCUGACCCAUAGGGAGUUGGGUGAUUUGAUUGUGCUUCCCGUUGCCCAUGGAUACCAGUCACCUGGCCUACCCUGCUCUCCACAGACAGGUAGACGGAGGGAGAGAGGGACGGACAGACAGACAGACAGACAGACAGACAGACAGACAGACCGUCUCACCUCUCUCCCGCUAACAGCAGACAGGGCCCAGACACAUUUAGAAACAUAGACCCACCCCAGACGCACACACGCACACAGACACACACGGAACGGAACACACACAGACGCACACACACACACACACACACACAGACGCACACACACACACACACACACACACACGGAACACAGAUAUGGCUUCAAGCUUCUGCAGAGACCGCCGGCCCACCGAGUGAGCGGCGUGGAGAACGUAAACAAGGGGAACGCGUCCUAACGACUACAAUCACAUUGUGCUUCCCCAACCUCUAAUUCAUAAGGGUUAGAAGUAGUGCAUGCAAGCAGUCCGCUUUGCCUCGGAAUCCGAAGGGUGUGUGUGUGUGUGUGCGUGAUGGCAUGCGUGAAUGGUGUGUGUGUGUGUGUGUGUGUGAUGGCAUGCGUGAAUGGUGUGUGUGUGUGUGUGUGUGUGUGUGUGUGUGUGUGUGUGUGUGUGUGUGUGUAAAUCAUGUGGCGGAGGACUAGUCCAGCCAUUGGAUGUGUAUUUUGGGGGAUUUAGUGCCCUUCUGAAGGAGAGGGCUCAGGGCUAUAUAAAGCUUUCAAAUGUCACAUUAAAUAAACGCCGACUCAGCCCUAUCAGAGUGGGUUUUGGCCAGAGGAUGCGAUACAUUACUGUUCAGCUCCUCCAACAUAUGUAAUGGGGGGGCUUGCUUGAGCCACGGUAUGUAAACAACCUCACUCAAUUUGAUAAGGAUAUGCUCGAGAUACGACACUUACAUCAGGGCUAUUUGACAGGGUUCAAGAAAUUGUUUCCUUUAUGUGACAUUUGUGACAAAUGUGACAUUUUUAAUGCGUGUCUUGUUCCUCUAACAUCGGCCGGCUCAACAAACACAUCACUCACGCACGCACGUACAUACAUACACUUACAUACCUACACACACACACACACACACAGACUAAAAAGAUGCAACAAUCUCGCUCUACAGCAUGCCUGGAUGUGUGCGAGUAAACCCACUAAAACUACGAUCUAAGUAUAUAAUACACCUUUCCCCCUUUUCCCAUCACCAUUUCACUUCUGAACGAGUCUCCCUCGAUCCUCCCACAACAAAUUCUUGGCAUUUGAUGAAGAUUCCUCGCAUGAGAGCAGGGGAGUAUUUGUGAUCGCCAUCGGUGUUGAC